UACGUAGGGGGCGAGCGUGUCGGAGAUUACUGGGCGUAAAGCGUGCGCAGGCGGUGAUGUAAGACAGGUGUGAAAUCCCCGGGCUUAACCUGGGAACUGCAUUUGUGACUGCAUCGCUGGAGUGCGGGCAGAGGGGGAUGGAAUUCCGCGUGUAGCAGUGAAAUGCGUAGAUAUGCGGAGGAACACCGAUGGCGAAGGCAAUCCCCUGGGCCUGCACUGACGCUCAUGCACGAAAGCGUGGGGAGCAAACAGG
rnacentral:rRNA from 1 species